rnacentral:rRNA from 1 species
UACGUAGGGGGCAAGCGUUGUCCGGAUUCACUGGGCGUAAAGGGUGCGCAGGCGGCCAAGUGUGUGAGGCGUGAAAGCCUGGGGCUUAACUCCAGAAUUGCACCUCAAACUACAUGGCUAGAGCAUUGGAGAGGGUAGCAGAAUUCACGGUGUAGCAGUGAAAUGCGUAGAUAUCGUGAGGAAUACCAGAGGCGAAGGCGGCUACCUGGACAAUUGCUGACGCUCAGGCACGAAAGCGUGGGGAGCAAAAGGG